UUUUGUGUGGUAGGGAGACAUGUCGAUGGCUGGUACUUGACUUCGUUGAUAAGUUGCUUUUGUGUUUUUAUUGUCGUUAUUACUUUAGUGGAGUAUGUUGUGCAGCUGAUUUUUAUUUUUUUCGUAUGUAGGUAGUAGUACCUCUUAGACGGCUGUACAGUUAAUAACAGGAAAGGAAGCUUUACUGUUUUUAAUUAGAAGUGGUUGUUGAGCUUAUUUUUUUUUAAUGUUUUUUAAACAUUAAAGCUAAAUGUUAAGUGGCUUAUAGAGAAGGUAUUAGCCGUAGUUGUAUUUUUUUUUUAAAGGCACGAUUGAUAAUGUGAAUCAUGUUGGUUUUAUUGAACCUUUUGGUUUAUUUGAUGGCAGAACAGUAACAGGCCUAUGUGCGUAGACAAAAUGGCGCUCAUGGAAGGUCAAAUGGCUACCAUUGGUAGAGUAGCUGUUUUUAAUUAAAUAUAGUUUUUAUUUGAAUUUGUUUGUAUCUAUAAGUACUUAUGAGACGACGUAGAGUAAAUAUAUAUUUAAUUUGACGGCAUUAUAUCGAGUGAUGACUCGAAGAUGACUCGUAAAUCUUUGUACGUUAUUAAUAUACAGUAGUUUGCCAGUCAUGUGAGUUUACCACAGGAGCAAUGUAUUUUAUACAGUUUUUGUUUUUAUAUGCUUCGUUUUUUACCAAAGUCAAAUGGGUGUCGAAUGCUAAAUAUUUUAUAAUUUUAUAAAUUUGUAAUUUCUUAGUCUUCAGGAUUAAGUAGCUAUUGAUAGUAGCUAAAAAAAAAAAAACAACUAAAAAAAAAAACUAAACACUUCAAAUGCCUUGUCGGUUAUUACAUUGCUGAUAAAUGAAGCCAGUGGACUGUCUUGUUUUCACUUCUGAAAUCGGCUGUUUUAAUGCCUUUAAUCGGAGGAUCGAGGAUUUUUGUUUGUUUUUAAUUGGACUGAGUUAAUCAUUCAAAGGACUUAGCUGUAUACAACUGUGUACUUGAGUCGUAUCUACGGAGAGAAGAUGAGGAACAGAGAAGAGUCGGGGACCGGACGGAAGCCAGGGGAGGAUCAGGAAAGCUCAGGCCAGGGUGAAGAAGCGGAGAGUGGGGAAGACACGACAGAGCAGGCGGAGUUUCCAGAGAAAGAGGGGCGCAAGGCAGAGUAGCGACAGCAAGUGGCCACAAGAGGGAGCACAGCAGAUCUAGACCAGAAGAGGCCAAGCUAAAGACGAGGUGUCCAGCAGAGCGGGCGAGUGAGGGGUCAGGGAUCGAUUACAGGGCCACCGAGUAGCGUCUGAAGUCAUUGAGGGUGUUUGGUUUGUAUAAAGGGUAGAGGUAUCUCUGUGAAGAAGAAAAAAACCAUAUCUCCCAAGUUAUUUUCUUUCAAAGGAAAUUUGCUCGCACAGGUUUGUUCUUUCUUUUCAGGCGUGGUGCGUGUGUGUGAAAUCCUACCGUUCGUUGACCACGUCUGGUUCCUGCGGUGAUGAACACCUAUAAUCGGCUCUGUACCCGUCCUGAGAGCAGAUGUAGUCACCAGGAAAAGGGGUUGAUCGAUCGUUCUUCUAAAAACCAAUAAGUGUCCCGAGAGGCGAUCUACAUUGAGGCUUGUUCAGCGUUGAAGUCCCGCCGCGUCGCUGCAUACUAAUAUGUCCACGUAGCCCAUCAUAAAUUUGAAGCUGCCCUGCGUGCCGUUUGCUGGUAAAAGAUAACAUUGCUCAAGGUUUAAUACAUUUUAAGGGAGUAACUAUUCCCUUAUUUAAAAAAAAAAAAAAUGGACUUGCAAAUGUGGUCUAUUUUAUGUUAUUUGCGUUUUGGGGACUGGGAAGGGGCAACUUCGUUUUUGAGUGCUUUUUCCACAGGCUCACGUUCUGUAAAAAUAGCACAACAGGAUCCCUCGGCUGUAGAGUGAAGCCUGCUGUUAAGAUGCGCAACAGUGUAAAGAGUUUUGUAAGGCUGCAAGUAAAGGCCCUGGUUGGAUUUUGAGGUAUCACUUACUGGCUUUGGUCCACCCUUUGCAGCUUUUCAGAGUGGUUAGAUAAUGGCACGUGUAGUACUGUAAGAGCACCAGCAGAGGAGGCGACUCAUCAUGGCAGCUAGCCCAAAGCUUUGGACACAGGCAAAAACCCACAGGCAUGAAAUCAGUAUGGAAUUUGUAUUGUAAAAUGGCAUCAGGAUUGUAAUGAUACUGGUUUUGUAUAUGGAUGUCCGUGUGGUUAUGGGGGCUUGGGGACUGCUUAAUUGUGACUUUUGCAGAUCAAAGGAAUCAAAUCCAAAAACUGGUUGUGCUACAGAUAUCCACUUCCCCAACUAGAGCAAAGAUGCUUCAUGUGGUUUUUACCUGUUCUGAAACGGCAAGUAAUUGGUAUCUUGUAUAAAUGGAAAAUUUUUCUUGUACAUUUCAGACUUUGGCAUUUAUGUAUCAGUAGUGACUAUUACUAGUUCUAUUUGGUUUGAGGAUGAGUGGGUGUGGUUGUAGGCUUUUCUUUUGCAGUGAGCAGUGUCCAAGUGCUUUCAUGUUCAAGAUCUGCUGAUCACCCUCAUGAAUUUUGUACUAAGGUUUGCUUUUGCACAUUAUUUAUAUAUGCACAUAAUGAGGUAAAUUUAAUUUGCUUGCUUACAUGUUGUAACUUUCUUGGUUAAUAAAUUAAUUGUUUCAGUAUUGAAA